GAUUGAAGUAGACGGACGCCUGUAAAGUUGAAAGCAGACGACCCUUUAUUGCUAAAACACACAUGUAUUUAUAGUCACAUAUUCUGCAAAGUCAUUGUACACGUGCACAAGCAUAAAAUAUGAUUGGUUAUACCAACUCUGUACACGCGCAUAAGCAUAAGAUAUAAUUGGUUACAUCAACUUAAACAUGCGAAGCUUGUCUCAGUCUAAUUGGUCGAGAUAAACUGCCGAAUUGAGGGGUUUUGUGCCAAGUUCCCUUUAUCAUGGAAUGCACACCUGUGUUCUUCUAACUGGCUUUAUUAUCAUCUUUCUUUUUUUGUCUUCUUGAUUAUUCUGUUCAAAGUCUUCUAAAGAUGUCUGCAAUGCUCUUGCGACCAGCGUUAGCUAAAUAUGUGUCCACAUUCUACCUGCUACCAAAGCAAUGCCAUGAGCAAUGCCACGAACAACAAUGCUGCUACGCCUGUAAUAACUCAGUACUCCUCUGUGUAUGUACAUUAUCCAGCUACUAGAAUGGCCAACAGUGUUGCACUGAAUAUUUAUAUUCAAGAAUUGUGGAAGAAGGUAGUGAAAGUUUGAGAGUGCUGCCUUUAGGGGACCAGAGAUGCAAAAUGUUGAUUUCAUCUUUUCCCGUUGCUCUCCCAGGGCAGGGCGUACUGCUCCUGGCUUCAAGGCAACAUCAGCAGUGUUCAAUUGCAGGCCUAGCAAGAACACCCACUAGCUAUACUCAAGGCAGUAUUAUUGAGCCCUUUCUCUAAGUCUAUGUACUACCUCAGUUUAAACUUCUAGUUCUGAUUAUUGAUCAAACAAAAAAUUUCCACUCGAGCAGUCCUGCCAGAAAGCCAGGAGAUUUUCUGCACAGAAGCACAGUCCUUCCGUAAUGGUAGCCCAUAUACUGAGGCUCCCUGUUCAGUUUUGUAUCCUGACAACUAUGCUCCUGGGGUGCCUUGAGAUAUGCCUGAAGUACUUCUCUACCAUCCACCUACUCUUUAUUGGCUCUUCACCCUGACACUAGACAGCAGCCUCACACUGAUCCUCUUCACCUUGCCACAGAGCAUUCCCCAGCUGCAAGGUGCCAUGAACAUGUCUUGGGAUAAUGGUCCAUCUUUACACAUUUGCAGAAAAUGCUUCAGAGAAUCACGAACCCUAAAUUUAUGAUUUUCCCCGAUCUACCUGAACCCCAACUUAAGCCAAGUUUAAUGACAAAAAGCUGCCAAAGAAUUAUUAAGCAAGCAAUAAAUUUAGACUUUUAGUUCAAGAAUGGAAACCCUGAACUCCCACUUAUAUCCUAAGCCUGGUUGCUCAGCCAGUAAGACUUUAACCUUUAGAUCUGUAACCUCUAUCUUUUUUAUACUUUGCUGUUAGUUUUGGAACACAAAAGCAAAUACCCUAAGUGCACCAGCACAGUACGGAUAAUUUUAUCAGUGGGAACUAUGGUCAUACUUAUAUAGUAAAGACCAUCUCUUAACAAGGGAUGCCUUUUAAACUGGAGACUACAUCCACAACCAGCAAUGCCAGAAACUGAUGAACUGAAAUCAAGUAACAAGUAACUAUACAAAAUUUGCUUUUAUGGAAUACAAUAUGAAACACAGGCUUAAGUAUCCUCUUUGAAUAACCUGAGACCUGUUACUUUAAUUUAUUAGACAUUUGGAAUUGCACACAGGGAAAA